CAAAGUGUAGCUUAAAUAAAAGCACCUAGUUUACACCUAGAAGAUUUCACAUAGGUUUUCGUUUA
rnacentral:tRNA from 1 species